rnacentral:rRNA from 1 species
GAUGAACGCUGGCGGCGUGCCUAACACAUGCAAGUCGAACGAAGUUUUAUGAAGUUUUCGGACGGAUUAAAACUUAGUGGCGGACGGGUGAGUAACGCGUGGGUAACCUGCCUCAUACAGGGGGAUAACAGCUGGAAACGGCUGCUAAAACCGCAUAAGCAUACACUGCCGCAUGGCAGAGUGUGAAAAUAUUAAUAGGUAUGAGAUGGGCCCGCGUCUGAUUAGCUAGUUGGUAAGGUAACGGCUUACCAAGGCGACGAUCAGUAGCCGGCUUGAGAGAGUGACCGGCCACAUUGGGACUGAGACACGGCCCAAACUCCUACGGGAGGCAGCAGGUGGGGAAUAUUGCACAAUGGGGGAAACCCUGAUGCAGCGACGCCGCGUGAGUGAAGAAGUAUUUCGGUAUGUAAAGCUCUAUCAGCAGGGAAGAUUAUGACGGUACCUGACUAAGAAGCCCCGGCUAACUACGUG